rnacentral:rRNA from 1 species
GAUGAACGCUGGCGGCGUGCCUAAUACAUGCAAGUCGAGCGAACAGACGAGGAGCUUGCUCCUCUGACGUUAGCGGCGGACGGGUGAGUAACACGUGGAUAACCUACCUAUAAGACUGGGAUAACUUCGGGAAACCGGAGCUAAUACCGGAUAAUAUAUUGAACCGCAUGGUUCAAUAGUGAAAGACGGUUUUGCUGUCACUUAUAGAUGGAUCCGCGCCGCAUUAGCUAGUUGGUAAGGUAACGGCUUACCAAGGCAACGAUGCGUAGCCGACCUGAGAGGGUGAUCGGCCACACUGGAACUGAGACACGGUCCAGACUCCUGGGAGGCAGCAGUAGGGAAUCUUCCGCAAUGGGCGAAAGCCUGACGGAGCAACGCCGCGUGAGUGAUGAAGGUCUUCGGAUCGUAAAACUCUGUUAUUAGGGAAGAACAAAUGUGUAAGUAACUAUGCACGUCUUGACGGUACCUAAUCAGAAAGCCACGGCUAACUACGUG